GCCAGGCCAUAGAUUUUUCACAAAUUCUUUGACCAUUAACUGUAACAUUUAUCCAGUGGGUGGAAUAUAAUUCGUAACCUAAAAACCUCCAAGAAGACUGCUCUGAUCGUAUUAUUAUUAUUAUUAUUGUUAUUCAGAUUCUUGCUUUCAGUCAGAUUUUAUCUAGGCCCAGUCUCAUUUCUUACUAACCAGAAUCCUGUGAACCUGUAUUUCUUUUCAUUGAUUGAAUGAGAAAUCUAUUUUUAAAUGCAGUAUGUUUGCCAGAGAACAAGGAUAGCCAUUUGAAAAUACUGGAUUCAGCCAGCCACAAAAUCUUGUGUGCCUCACCAAGCCAUAGAAGACCAAGAAUUUUCCUAAUAUAUUGCAUUGUUCAUUACUUUGGAUGUUAAAAGCACUUCCUAAGUGGAGCCCGUCCUAUGUGUCAAGCACUCUUCUCAGCCUUUUGUCUUGAUUAUCUUACUUGUUUCUAGCAAUCAUCUAAUGAAAGAACCGUUGUAUCCCCAUUUUGCUGGUGUAGAGACUGAGGAUAGACCAGUUAUAUAACUUACCCAAAGUUGUGCAGUAAGCAAAACCUAAACAUGCGUGUGCAGUUUAACAACACAAUAUGUGCAGGCAUGAGUGGCUAAUCCUAUGUGAAAGUCAGCAGCUCUUUGGGUUAAGGGGAUGGGAAAAAAAACUGAACUUCUGAAGCCUCCGAGUCAGGCUGCCUGGGCACAUGUCCUAGUUCUGGCAC
rnacentral:lncRNA from 1 species